rnacentral:rRNA from 1 species
GACGAACGCUGGCGGCGUGCCUAAUACAUGCAAGUCGAACGCAGUGGGGACGGGUGAGUAACACGUGGGUAACCUCCCAUCAGAGGGGAUAACACUUGGAAACAGGUGCUAAACCGAUACUGAUGGAUGGACCCGCGGUGCAUUAGCUAGGUGGUGAGGUAACGGCUCACCAAGGCCACGAUGCAUAGCCGGACUGAGAGGGUGAUAAGCCACACUGGAACUGAGAAACGGCCCAGACUCCUACGGGAGGAAGCAGUGGGGAAGAUUCGGCAAUGGACGAAAGUCUGACCGAGCAAUGCCGCGUGAGUGAAGAAGGUUUUCGGAUCGUAAAACACUGUUGUUAGAGAAGCGGUAUCUAAACAGAAAGCCACGGCUAACUACGUGCCAGCCGCCGCGGUAAUAC